GUGUGGGUGAGGGUGAUCCGUCGCCGGUGUGAGUGGCAGAGGCCGUGUGGAGGGUGACUUCCCUGCUCUGGUCCGCGUUCCCGGGACCAGCCCGCCCCGAAGACCGAAUAAUGGCUCUGCUGCAGUAUAAAGGUUGCUGCAAGGACCACUGGGAGAAGCCCAAGUCUUGUCUACCUGCUCUUUUCUCCUCAAACACAACAGUAAGCAAGCCCCCUCCAUGCUGGGAAUAGACAGCUGUCCUUGAGGCUGAGGCUAAACAGAUUAUGCACAGCAGUCUUCUCUCCAUCAUUGCCUGGACCUGGGGUAGCUGUUAAGCACUUGGGUUUCCAAAGGUUCCUGACCAUCUACACAAAAAGAAUAAACAAA